rnacentral:rRNA from 1 species
AUUAGUGGCGAAAGGGUGAGUAACACGUGGGAAAUCUGCCUUAGAGUUCGGGAUAACCAGCCGAAAGGUUGGCUAAUACGGGAUACGUUAUAUUCUUGAAAUAGAGUAUAGGGAAGAUGGGGACUUCUUCGGAAGCCUGUCACUCUUAGAUGAGCCCGCGGCCUAUCAGCUAGUUGGUGAGGUAAUGGCUCACCAAGGCUAAGACGGGUAGCUGGUUUGAGAGAAUGGUCAGCCACACUGGGACUGAGACACUGCCCAGACAUCUACGGAUGGCUGCAGUCGAGAAUCUUUCGCAAUGGGGGAAACCCUGACGAAGCGACGCCGCGUGGAGGAUGAAGGUCUUCGGAUUGUAAACUGCUGUCGGUUGGGAAAAAAAGCUACUAGUGAA